rnacentral:tRNA from 1 species
ACUCAUAAUUCUCUAUUGGAGCAUUUGAUUUGAAAUCAAAUUGUUUGUUUUUAUUAACAAUAUGGGUU